GCCUUCUUGGCUCAGUUGGCUAGAGCGCAGGUCUCAUAGUAAUAUGACGUAAUAUCAGUUACGUAAUCCUGAGGUCGCAAGUUCGAGCCUUGCAGAGGGCA